GGCCCAAAUUUGAAUUAGAGUAGAUUAGUAGGAUCAGUUAACCCUACUGAACUACCGUACUUCAAGUUUGUGCCC
rfam:Haemonchus contortus, ISE/inbred ISE, WGS project CAVP01000000 data, contig: Hcontortus_8421